UAAGCGUGAAUAUGGAGACACCAGUGGCGAGGCGGCUGUCUGGUCUGUAACUGACGCUGAGGCUCGAAAGUAUGGGUAGCAAACAGGAUUAGAUACCCUGGUAGUCCAUACCGUAAACGAUGAAUGCUAAGUGUUGGAGGGUUUCCGCCCUUCAGUGCUGCAGCUAACGCAUUAAGCAUUUCGCCUGGGGAGUACGGCCGCAAGGCUGAAACUCAAAGGAAUUGACGGGGGCCCGCACAAGCGGUGGAGCAUGUGGUUUAAUUCGAAGCUACGCGAAGAACCUUACCAGGUCUUGACAU
rnacentral:rRNA from 1 species